UUACGGUUAUAUCACGUUGAAACACAGGUUCUGUUCCGAUCACCGAAGUUAAGCAACGUCAAGCCUGUUUAGUACUUAGAUAGGGAACCGCUUGAGGAUACCAG